CCAAUAAAACUCUCAUAUUCUUCUUGAUGAGUUUGCACCGUGGUAGGCACAAUUUGAUCAAAAGAAGCCUCCAUAUUCAACAAACUUGAAAUCAAAAAAUUCAUGGCCUCAUCUAAACCCUUUGCUCUUUGAAUAAAAUCUUCGAGCUUGUUUCGAACAGCUUCUAUCUUUUUAUUUUUUUCCACCUCUCUAGCAUCUAUGGGCUUCUCAUC
rnacentral:lncRNA from 1 species